UACGUAGGGUGCGAGCGUUAAUCGGAAUUACUGGGCGUAAAGUGUGCGCAGGUGGCCGCGCAAGUCGAGUGUGAAAUCCCCGGGCUUAACUUGGGAAUUGCGCUCGAAACUACGUGGCUCGAGUGUGGCAGAGGAAGGUGGAAUUCCACGUGUAGCGGUGAAAUGCGUAGAGAUGUGGAGGAACACCGAUGGCGAAGGCAGCCCCCUGGGCUAACACUGACGCUCAUGCACGAAAGCGUGGGGAGCAAACAGG
rnacentral:rRNA from 1 species